AGAAGAUCGAAGAAACACACCAUUGAUCAAAAACCGUCGUCUACUGAUGGCUUUGAUAUUCAAACGGACAGUCUAGUAAAGGUUUGCUCCUCUUCUGGAGGGUCUACGCAGGAACAAGGAGCAGGGAGAGGUGGUCAGAUGUGCUCAGGUGGGGGAGAGGAACAGGAUGUCAACGCUGCAUUCCCCCCGUGGCCCCCAAAUGGACAAGCGGUAGAAAAUGGAUGGAUGGAUGGAUGUCAACGUGAACAUCUGCUUGCGAACAUCACACAAGUGUGUGUGUUUUCUCCAUCUGGCUAACAGUCAACUGUCUAAAGGCAAAGAAAAAAUUGUAGCUUCAAAGAAGGAAUUGGAGCCGACGUGCGAAGUCUUGGAGCCGCUGCACUAAAAGUAUUCUGGACAUCUGUGUUGGUGAAUCUUUUGCAAUUUGUUUAAUGAACAAUGGAGACUGCAAAGAAGAAAGCUGUAGGUGGGAUCGGUGUAUUAGCGGCUGGCUGCAGCAACACAACCAGGAGGACUUCCUUGGAUAGCCGAAGCUAGCCGCCGACCGCACGGAUGAUCGGGUGAAGUCCUUCGUCGCGCCGUCGAUCGCUGGAACGCAGAUACUGCAGUCGCGCCUCCAGCUCGGCUUUGCGGAUGAGGUCGCUAUAAAUGGUCUCCAGCCUGGUUGGGAGAGGAAAUGAGCAAGGUAAAGACACGCCCCCUCACAUCACCCACCUUAGAAAAGGACCGCCCCCUUUUGUGACGACUGUAGUUCUAUUUGAAGCUCUAAAGAGUUUGUAAAAGAAAUCCUUCUACAGGCGCAUGGUUGACGCUGGCGAUGGUGUCACCUGUGAACAUGAACACACCUUCAGCCUCACUAACAUAGCCAGGUACCUUCAUCCUCACUAACUACAACAUAGCCAGGUACCUUCAUCCUCACUAACAAAGCCAGGUACCUUCAUCCUCACUAACAUAGCCAGGUACCUUCAUCCUCACUAACUACAACAUAGCCAGGUACCUUCAUCCUCACUAACAAAGCCAGGUACCUUCAUCCUCACUAACAUAGCCAGGUACCUUCAUCCUCACUAACUACAACAUAGCCAGGUACCUUCAUCCUCACUAACUAGAAUAUAGCCAGGUACCUUCAUCCUCACUAACUACAACAUAGCCAGGUACAUUACAUGGUCACUAACUAGAACAUAGCUAGGUACCUUCAUGGUCACUAACUAGAACAUAGCUAGGUACCUACAUGGUCACUAACUAGAACAUAGCUAGGUACCUACAUGGUCACUAACUAGAACAUAGCCAGGUACCUUCAUGGUCACUAACUAGAACAUAGCUAGGUACCUACAUGGUCACUAACUAGAACAUAGCCACGUACCUUCAUGGUCACUAACUAGAACAUAGCCAGGUACCUUCAUGGUCACUAACUAGAACAUAGCUAGGUACCUACAUGGUCACUAACUAGAACAUAGCCAGGUACCUUCAUGGUCACUAACUAGAACAUAGCCAGGUACCUUCAUGGUCACUAACUAGAAUAAAACCAGGUGUGUGUGCUAAGUGAACAACAAAGUGCAGACUGAGGGGAGUCAGAGUCAUUCAGGAAGUGAAACUAAAGUGAGAGAAAUAAACAACUAGCUUGGGAACAUUCUCUAGUUUCCUUCUUUCGGCUGGCUGGUGGAAAAAAACAUGAGUGAUUGGCAGUGACAUGUGACCUUGUCACCUCUGACCCCGCCCUCCCAGCUCUAAUUUGAAGACCGUUGCAUAAAUGAAGGUUUGCUUGACCAGGAAGUGACUACUGUAAAUACAAUUCAAUCCUCUAUUCAGUACGCUACAGUCUUAAAAACUAAACAACCAGGAUCUCAAACCAAAAUCCUCACCUUUAACAGCUGCGGCUGUAGGCAACCCCCCUGAUGUGUUUUUAAAAGAAGCCACACAAAAUGUUGCCGUGAAAGGGGCCCCACAAAGAAGUGUUUACAUGUAGAAAAAAGUCCUAUUAUGACUCCUUAGCCUUUAAGAGACCAGACGUGUGUGUGCUAUCCAGUUUGCACGUGUUUUAGUACAUGUAAACCUACUAUAGUAGUUGGUGUUUUUUCCCAGGACUACUGGAUGUUUUACUGUGUUUUUACUUUGCAACUACAACAUACUUUUAACUUAUUCAGGCUCCUGGUUUUUCAGCAAUUGAACAUGCAAAAAAUUUGCCAAAAAACCCCCCACAAUUUUAAGAUGUUUAGUGUUUAAAGAAUGUACAAAUAAUCAACAGAGUUGACAUAAAAACA